rnacentral:rRNA from 1 species
UACAGAGGGGGCAAGCGUUGUUCGGAAUUACUGGGCGUAAAGGGCGCGUAGGCGGCCUGUUAAGUCGAACGUGGAAUCCCCGGGCUCAACCCGGGAACUGCGUCCGAUACUGGCAGGCUUGAAUUCGGGAGAGGGAUGCGGAAUUCCAGGUGUAGCGGUGAAAUGCGUAGAUAUCUGGAGGAACACCGGUGGCGAAGGCGGCAUCCUGGACCGAGAUUGACGCUGAGGCGCGAAAGCCAGGGGAGCAAACGGG